CCAGACUCCUACGGGAGGCAGCAGUGAGGAAUAUUGGUCAAUGGGCGCGAGCCUGAACCAGCCAAGUCGCGUGAGGGAGGACGGCCCUACGGGUUGUAAACCUCUUUUGCCGGGGAGCAACGGGCGUCACGUGUGGCGCCACUGAGAGUACCCGGAGAAAAAGCAUCGGCUAACUCCGUGCCAGCAGCCGCGGUAAUACGGAGGAUGCGAGCGUUAUCCGGAUUUAUUGGGUUUAAAGGGUGCGUAGGCGGGAUCGUUAAGUCAUGGCCAAAAUGGGGGGGCAACCCCCCUUCCCGCCAUUGAAACUGGCGCUCUUGAGUGGAAGAGAAGUAUGCGGAAUGCGUGGUGUAGCGGUGAAAUGCAUAGAUAUCACGCAGAACCCCGAUUGCGAAGGCAGCAUGCCGGCUUCCGACUGACGCUGAAGCACGAAAGCGUGGGGAUCGAACAGGAUUAGAUACCCUUGUAU
rnacentral:rRNA from 1 species